AGAGUUUGAUCCUGGCUCAGAAUCAACGCUGGCGGCGCGCUUAACACAUGCAAGUCGAACGAGAAAGGGGAGCAAUCCCCGAGUAAAGUGGCGUACGGGUGAGUAACACGUGGGUAAUCUGCCUCUGGGUGGGGAAUAACUCUGGGAAACCGGAGCUAAUACCGCAUAAGACCGGAAGGUGAAAGGCGAAAGUCGCCGAGAGAGGAGCCCGCGGCCGGUUAGCUUGAUGGUGGGGUAACGGCCUACCAUGGCAGAGAUCAGUAGCCGGCCUGAGAGGGCACACGGCCACACUGGCACUGAAACACGGGCCAGACUCCUACGGGAGGCAGCAGUGGGGAAUCUUGCACAAUGGGGGAAACCCUGAUGCAGCGACGCCGCGUGAGCGAUGAAGCCCUUCGGGGUGUAAAGCUCUUUCGGCAGGGACGAUAAUGACGGUACCUGAAGAAGAAGCUGCGGCUAACUACGUGCCAGCAGCCGCGGUAAUACGUAGGCAGCGAGCGUUGUUCGGAGUUACUGGGCGUAAAGCGUGCGUAGGCGGUGGUCCAAGUCUGGUGUGAAAUCUCCCGGCUCAACUGGGAGGGUGCGCCGGAAACUGGGCCGCUGGAGUAUGGGAGAGGCAAGCGGAAUUCCAGGUGUAGCGGUGAAAUGCGUAGAUAUCUGGAGGAACACCCGUGGUGCAGACGGCUUGCUGGACCAUCACUGACGCUGAGGCACGAAAGCGUGGGUAGCAAACAGGAUUAGAUACCCUGGUAGUCCACGCCCUAAACGAUGCAUACUUGGUGUGGGCAGUUCAGUCUGUC
rnacentral:rRNA from 1 species